UACGUAGGGGGCAAGCGUUGUCCGGAUUUAUUGGGCGUAAAGAGCGUGUAGGCGGCCAGAUAGGUCAGCUGUGAAAACUCGAGGCUCAACCUCGAGAUGUCGGCUGAAACCAUCUGGCUAGAGUCCGGAAGAGGAGAAUGGAAUUCCCGGUGUAGCGGUGAAAUGCGCAGAUAUCGGGAGGAACACCGAUGGCGAAGGCAGCUCGCUGGGACGGUACUGACGCUGAGACGCGAAAGCGUGGGGAGCGAACAGG
rnacentral:rRNA from 1 species